GGAUGCGAUCAUACCAGCACUAAAGCACCGGAUCCCAUCAGAACUCCGAAGUUAAGCAUGCUUGGGCGAGAGUAGUACUAGGAUGGUUGACCUCCUGGGAAGUCCUCAUGUUGCAUUCC
rnacentral:rRNA from 1 species